CAGUAGCCACGGGAAUACAGAGGGUGCGAGCGUUAAUCGGAUUUACUGGGCGUAAAGCGUGCGUAGGCGGCUUCUUAAGUCGGAUGUGAAAUCCCUGAGCUUAACUUAGGAAUUGCAUUCUAUACUGGGAAGCUAGAGUAUGGGAGAGGAUGGUAGAAUUCCAGGUGUAGCGGUGAAAUGCGUAGAGAUCUGGAGGAAUACCGGUGGCGAAGGCGGCCCCCUGGACAAAGACUGACGCUCAGGUGCGAAAGCGUGGGGAGCAAACAGGAUUAGAUACCCCUGUAGUCCCUGUCUCUUAUAC
rnacentral:rRNA from 1 species